GCGGGAGCGGUGGGUUAAACUGUUCUGUGACACCGAGAGCAAUGUAGAGCUGUCAAAACCAUCGCUUACGUCCAAGAUGACACCGCAAAGCUGUUCCAUUUAUUUUUCCUGAUAUGUUGUGUUGUUCGAUACUGCAAUGUUGUCUCCCCUGACUUGGGAAGAAGCUAGGAAGAUUGAGCAAAAUUCUGUUGUUUUCACAAAGUAAGGAGAUCAUCAAAAAGAAAGUUAACUACCAAAUAUCCCCCAAGGUCCCUGUACAGCAACAUCAAGCGCAGCUGGGACAAACUGCUCCUGAAAGGCGGCAGCCUGUCGCUGCAGUGCCUAACCCGCGCGGCCACAUCAGUCGUGGGACCCCGGCACACUGUCGUCUGGCAAAUACCGUAACUCCGAACGUAAAUAAUAAUGUUUUACCGUCGGCCUUUUCUUCGGCUU